CUGAAACAUAAUUGGCCAUAAGUUGAUCAUUGUUGAAGGCAAGUGACAGAUGGGAGCUCAUUAUAAUUUUCUCUAUUUUGGUGUAUGUUUAAGAUGUUCUAUGAUAAAAAGUUAGAAAUGAAAUAUGAGAUAUAUGAAUGCCUUUCUCAGAGACAAUUAUCUAAUUUGAAACUCAGUUUCCUUUAACUCAAGAUUUGUUUGCAUAUAUCUAAAUCACAUGGUUUUAUCUUGCAAAAAAGAAACCACAGCGUUAAACCCGGGCUUCUCUUCUCGGUUCUGCUUUCUUCCAGGGAUUCCAAGCGACAGGGACGGGGUUUCACUGUGUUGGCCAGGAUGGUCUCGAUCUCUUGACCGUGUGAUCUGCCUGCUUCGGCCUCCCAAAGUGCUGGUAUUACAGGCGUGAGCCACUGCGCCCAGUCAAAGAUGUUCUCUUUUAAGAUUACUUUUUAAAAAGACUCACACGGUACCUUCCCACAAGAAGACAUGGAGACUAUGUGACGUAGCCUGUGGGUCCCUGGACACCGGGACUAGAGGACCCUUCCCAAGAGCAGACCGCAGGCAAGAUACCAUUCAUUGGCCUCGCUGCCUGUGCCCGCGGAUUCCGCACGUGGCCACACCUCUUCUAUACAAGGCAAGGUGGCGAUAUUCCUGCUUCCCCUUCACCUUCCACCAUAAUUGUGUUUCCUGAGGCCUUCCCAACCAUGUUUCCUGUACAGCCUGCAGAACUGUGAGUCAUUUAACCUCUUUUCUUUAUAAAUUACCCAUUCUCAGGGAGUUCUUUAUAGCAAUGCAAGAAUGGACUAAUACACGCAGCUAAAGUUUUUCUUAAGCACUUAAAUUGUUGACUAUAAAAUGAUAAAUUUAACUAUGUCAAAAUAAAGAACAUUUGUUCACCAAGAGAUACCUUUAAAAAGUAAAAAGACAAAGUAAAAACUGGGACAAGAUAUUCAUAAUAUCAACCACAAAGGUUUAGUACCAAGAAUAUAUGUAGAACUGCUACAAAUCAAUUUUGUUAACAAAGCACAAAUAACCAGUAUAAUAAUGGGGAAAAAAAGCACCAAUGGCAUUUCACAGAAGAGGAAACAUAUAUGCCCAAUAAACUUAUGAAAAGAUUCAAAAAGAAAAGUGAAAAAAAUUAUGAAUACCUAGUAUAUGAUAGCACAAAAGGGUGACUAUAGUCAAAAUAAUUUAACUGUACAUUUAAAAAUACCUAAAAGAGUAUAAUUGGAUUGUUUAUAACACAAAACAUAAAUGCUUGAGGGGAUGGAUACCCCAUUUCCCAUGAUGUGAUUAUUAUGCAUUGUGUGCCUAUAUCAAAACAUCUCAUGUACCCCAUAAAUAUAUGUACCUAUUAUGUACCCACAAAAACUAAA
rnacentral:lncRNA from 1 species